CAAAUUUUCAAGCGGAAAGUUUUCAUAGUCAACAAAUUUCGCGGUCUCCAAAAGUUAUAGGCGCGCUUCCAAUUCUCAAAUUGUGAAUGAAAGCUCGAUAUUGUGAAUUGUGAUACCCAUCUUGUUCUUCUCUCACUCCGACUCCGACUCCGACCCCGACUCAUACACAUCGACUCCGACUCAAAUCUUCUCCUCUGCUCCUAUUGCCUUCUUCACCGUUCCUAUUGUUGCUCGGCUACUAUGACUAUAUAUGUAACUUGGCUUUUCAUAUUUCUUGUUCAAGGGUUUGCUGGAGACAACGAAGAAGGAUCCACAAAUAAACAAUUGGCUUUUUGGACUUCAUCCCAAUGUUUGUGUUUUCAGAGUUGUCAGAAGACUUUAAAUAUAUACACAACCAGAGGCCGCAAAGAAAAAUCUCUCAUGUAUUCCUUUAGCACCAGCCUGUGUGAUUCUAGAUUUGCAAAUAUAGGAUGUGGAAUUCCUUCAGAGUUGAAGUAUGAUUGGAAGAAUUGAAGACUAUGUGGCACUUUUGGGACAUGUCCAGUAGCCUUUUUCUUUCUUUGCUUCAUGGUUUCAGGUUUAAUGAAAAUUUGUGGUAUGUGAUUUUGUCAGUUUUUUGUUCUUGUACUUUGGAGUUUGAUAUAGUUGUGAAUAAAUAAUGAGAUUCUUGAGCAUAUCAACUAUUGAAGAGAAUAAAGAAUGUAGAGUAAUGACAGUCAUUUGUGAUAUAGAAUGUGAUUCAAACAUGAUUAGAAAACAAAUGAAUCAUAGUUACCGAAGAGGAACGUUGGAAGCAUAUGGUUGUGGAAGACUGGAAGUGCUUUUUCUCAGUCUUAUUUUGGUCAGCUUUUUGCCAAAAGAGCCUUUAGUUCUUAAAAAUUGUGGUCAGGUUUGACUAACUAAUUAUUGCUGUAAAUGAGAUCACACUAUCAAUUCAUUGAUCCAAAGUACUUAUCUCUUCCACAACUAAUAAACAAGGCUUUAAUCCUUUUUUUGUUGUUGUCUAUUCUACUACAUCUGCAACUUUUUCUUGUUCUAGCUUUUGUCAGAUUACUUCUAACUUUGUCUUCAACUUUAUUUUGGAAGGGUCAGUAGCAUUAUAACAAUGUUUGCAGGUUCAUUUGGAUACCCUUUAAACUGGCUGUUUGGCUAUUUUAAUUUCAAGUUUUGUUGAUUGCCAGACUUCAACCCUGAAAUUGCUCUAGUAUUAUAAAAAAGGUGUCCAGGUAUACUAUACAGCUCCACAUAUGGUAUAUUACAUCUUCCUCUUUUUAUUUUUCGUAACACAACAUAUUGAUCAAUACUCGCUCCAUCUUCUUCUUUUUCCAUUUUCUUUUCUCUCUCUCUCUCUCUCUCUCUCUCUCUCUCUUUUCUUUAUCACACAAUAGACGAGUAAACAACCCUUCAACUUAGAAUUUGCAGUACCUCUGGGAGGUACCUCAGAUACGGUGAGUUUUUUCUUUUUUUCUUUUUUAAGACUAUAGGCUGUUGCCCUUUUUUCUAUUUCCAGCCAUAAAACAAAGCACACUUUUCUUUCUGGGAAGAAGAAGAUGACCAAAAAAAAAAAAACAGAACACUUUAUUUUAAGCAAACAAUAAAGACAAAUAGACAACCCCCAUCUCAAGUUUCUUCCAGACUAAAUUCACAUAGCCACAUCACUAGCUUAGGAAGUUGUCACUUCAGUUCUGUUUUCUAUGAAUGUUAUAGUCAUGACUACUGAAUUAAGGGUUUUGCUUGAUUUCUAGUCUUUUGUGGUUGCUAUCUGUGGUUGGUGUUAUACUACUGCAAUUUGUUCUGGUUCAGUAAUGAAAAGCUAUGAUAGUUUCUUUAAACUGAGUUUGUUUAUCUUUAAGGUCCAAUUGCAUAUUCAUAAUGGCUUUUUUUUUCUUUCUCCGAGGUCACUGGGGUAGGCACUAUAUGUAACACCCCAACCCGGAUGAAUCAAAAGGAAUCUGGAUUAAGGAUGUUACAAAUGGCAUUUUUGUUUGAUAAUCUUGGUUAUUUAUGGAGGGUAGAUUGUGAAACAGAUUUGAAAUUUUCAUCCUUGCAACUAACAUGCAUGACCUAUAUGUGCACAGGCUCAACUGGGAGGCGAGUGCACAAAUACAUGUAGUGGGAAGUUAGACCCCUUUUUGACAUUAAGUGGCUGUAUUUGCAGCAGGAGUUGAAUUGAUUCUGUGGACACAUGAUUCCAUUCGAUUGUAUUUUUUGUGGUGAAUGGUGAAGGUCAUCAUUUCAGAGGAAGAUAUAUCAAAGCACAUCAAUUACAACUAUUAUAUGUGACAAGUUGCAUAAGCUUGUCCAUCUUUCUCUUGGAUUUUGUUGUCAUGGAAGUAUCGAAAUUGUUUUAGGCUUUUAAAUUAGUUUUCAUGGGACAUGUACAUGUGAACAUGAAUAAAUAAGUGAUAAUGUGGAUUGUCCUCAGCAAUACAAUGUAUUUAGUGUAAUACAAUUUCUAUUAUAUAGAAGUUUGA